rnacentral:rRNA from 1 species
AUGAACGCUGGCGGCGUGCUUAACACAUGCCAGUCGAACGGGAUCCAAGGGGUGCUUGCACUUUUUGGUGAGAGUGGCGAACGGGUGAGUAACACGUGAGUAACCUGUCCUUUUCUUUGGGAUAAGCAUUCGAAAGGGUGUUUAAUACCUUAUGUUCUGUCUGCCUCGCAUGGGGUGGGUGGGAAAGGCUUUGGCCGGAUUUGGGUGGGCUCGCGGUCUAUCAGCUUGUUGGUGGGGUGAUGGCUUACCAAGGCUUUGACGGGUAGCCGGCCUGAGAGGGUGGUCGGUCACAUUGGGACUGAGAUACGGCCCAGACUCCUGCGGGAGGCAGCAGUGGGGGAUAUUGCACAAUGGGCGAAAGCCUGAUGCAGCGACGCCGCGUGGGGGAUGAAGGCCUUCGGGUUGUAAACUUCUUUUGCUCUGAACAAGGCAUGCCAGUGGGUGUGUUGAGUGUAGGGGUUGAUUAGCGCCGGCUAACUACGUG